GAAUUCGCCCUUAGAGUUUGAUCCUGGCUCAGGACGAUUGCUGGCGGCGCGCCUAACACAUGCAAGUCGAACGAGCGAGAGAGAGCUUGCUUUCUCGAGCGAGUGGCGAACGGGUGAGUAACGCGUGAGGAACCUGCCUCAAAGAGGGGGACAACAGUUGGAAACGACUGCUAAUACCGCAUAAGCCCACGGCUCGGCAUCGAGCAGAGGGAAAAGGAGCAAUCCGCUUUGAGAUGGCCUCGCGUCCGAUUAGCUAGUUGGUGAGGUAACGGCCCACCAAGGCAACGAUCGGUAGCCGGACUGAGAGGUUGAACGGCCACAUUGGGACUGAGACACGGCCCAGACUCCUACGGGAGGCAGCAGUGGGGAAUAUUGCACAAUGGGGGAAACCCUGAUGCAGCGACGCCGCGUGGAGGAAGAAGGUCUUCGGAUUGUAAACUCCUGUUGUUGGGGAAGAUAAUGACGGUACCCAACAAGGAAGUGACGGCUAACUACGUGCCAGCAGCCGCGGUAAAACGUAGGUCACAAGCGUUGUCCGGAAUUACUGGGUGUAAAGGGAGCGCAGGCGGGAAGACAAGUUGGAAGUGAAAUCUAUGGGCUCAACCCAUAAACUGCUUUCAAAACUGUUUUUCUUGAGUAGUGCAGAGGUAGGCGGAAUUCCCCGGUGUAGCGGUGGAAUGCGUAGAUAUCGGGAGGAACACCAGUGGCGAAGGCGGCCUACUGGGCACCAACUGACGCUGAGGCUCGAAAGUGUGGGUAGCAAACAGGAUUAGAUACCCUGGUAGUCCACACCGUAAACGAUGAUUACUAGGUGUUGGAGGAUUGACCCCUUCAGUGCCGCAGUUAACACAAUAAGUAAUCCACCUGGGGAGUACGACCGCAAGGUUGAAACUCAAAGGAAUUGACGGGGGCCCGCACAAGCAGUGGAGUAUGUGGUUUAAUUCGACGCAACGCGAAGAACCUUACCAAGUCUUGACAUCCCUUGACAGGCAUAGAAAUAUGUUUUCUCUUCGGAGCAAGGAGACAGGUGGUGCAUGGUUGUCGUCAGCUCGUGUCGUGAGAUGUUGGGUUAAGUCCCGCAACGAGCGCAACCCUUAUGGUCAGUUACUACGCAAGAGGACUCUGGCCAGACUGCCGUUGACAAAACGGAGGAAGGUGGGGAUGACGUCAAAUCAUCAUGCCCUUUAUGACUUGGGCUACACACGUACUACAAUGGCGUUAAACAAAGAGAAGCAAGACCGCGAGGUGGAGCAAAACUCAGAAACAACGUCCCAGUUCGGACUGCAGGCUGCAACUCGCCUGCACGAAGUCGGAAUUGCUAGUAAUCGUGGAUCAGCAUGCCACGGUGAAUACGUUCCCGGGCCUUGCACACACCGCCCGUCA
rnacentral:rRNA from 1 species